rnacentral:rRNA from 1 species
UACGUAGGGUGCGAGCGUUAAUCGGAAUUACUGGGCGUAAAGCGUGCGCAGGCGGUUUUGUAAGCCAGAUGUGAAAUCCCCGGGCUUAACCUGGGAAUGGCACUUGGGACUGCAAGGCUGGAGUGCGGCAGAGGAGACUGGAAUUCCUGGUGUAGCAGUGAAAUGCGUAGAUAUCAGGAGGAACACCGAUGGCGAAGGCAGGUCUCUGGGCUGACACUGACGCUCAUGCACGAAAGCGUGGGGAGCAAACAGG